rnacentral:rRNA from 1 species
AUUGAACGCUGGCGGCAGGCCUAACACAUGCAAGUCGAACGGUAACAGGAAACAGCUUGCUGUUUCGCUGACGAGUGGCGGACGGGUGAGGAAUGUCUGGGAAACUGCCUGAUGGAGGGGGAUAACUACUGGAAACGGUAGCUAAUACCGCAUAACGUCGCAAGACCAAAGAGGGGGACUUUCGGGCCUCUUGCCAUCGGAUGUGCCCAGAUGGGAUUAGCUAGUAGGUGGGGUAACGGCUCACCUAGGCGACGAUCCCUAGCUGGUCUGAGAGGAUGACCAGCCACACUGGAACUGAGACACGGUCCAGACUCCUACGGGAGGCAGCAGCGGGGAAUAUUGCACAAUGGGCGCAAGCCUGAUGCAGCCAUGCCGCGUGUAUGAAGAAGGCCUUCGGGUUGUAAAGUACUUUCAGCGGGGAGGAAGAGAGUAAAGUUAAUACCUUUGCUCAUUGACGUUACCCGCAGAAGAAGCACCGGCUAACUCCGUG